AACGAACGCUGGCGGCAUGCCUAACACAUGCAAGUCGAACGAAGUCUUCGGACUUAGUGGCGCACGGGUGCGUAACGCGUGGGAAUCUGCCCUUGGGUGCGGAAUAACUUCUCGAAAGGGAUGCUAAUACCGCAUAAUGUCGUAAGACCAAAGAUUUAUCGCCCAAGGAUGAGCCCGCGUAAGAUUAGCUAGUUGGUGGGGUAAAAGCCUACCAAGGCGACGAUCUUUAGCUGGUCUGAGAGGAUGAUCAGCCACACUGGGACUGAGACACGGCCCAGACUCCUACGGGAGGCAGCAGUGGGGAAUAUUGGACAAUGGGCGAAAGCCUGAUCCAGCAAUGCUGCGUGAGUGAUGAAGGCCCUAGGGUUGUAAAGCUCUUUACCAGGGAUGAUAAUGACAGUACCUGGAG
rnacentral:rRNA from 1 species